CACCAACAAAAAAAAUUAAUGAGUUCCCACCCCUGCAGUCCUUGUAGGUUGUAAUUAAUCUAAAGCAUGAUCAUUAGCACUUGCUUCCUCAGCAACCUUGCUUUGUGCCCACAUUUGCAAACACUUUCGCAUAUUCAGCUUGUGGAGGACCAGUGGAGUUGGCAGCACCAAGGAAGUGGAGUCAGGAUGCGGCUCCCAGGAUGGACUGACACCUAGUGAAAUUUAACAAGAGACUACUUCAAAAGAAAUGGCAUAACAUUUUUUUAUGCAUUCCUUUUCUAUUUUAAAGUCUGUUCCCUUUAGGCUUUUCCAGUUUCAUGUGACCUCUUGGCUGUGGUUAAGGAAAUAGAAAUGCAAGCCUCUAAUAUUUCUCUCUGUGUGACAUCAUAAUAUUUUUAUGCCUCAGAAAGCACAGUGCCAUCAACCACUUGAAACACAAUUCCUUCAGCAAGUGGGUAGUGUACUCAACGUGUAUAACCACUUCUGGAGCGUCCACUUUUGGAGCAGAACCAGCCUUCCUCUGGCUGCUGCAGCUAAUGCAAGGCGUUGCACAGCACAGGGCCCCACCAGCCGUUUGCACAUCAGCGGUGACAUUCAGCUGAUCCCAAAGGAAAUAACCCCAGGGAAAAUUGCCAUCGUUGUCACGCCCUGCAGAGAGCUGCUUGCUGAGGAAAACGUACUGUCACUCUCAUCAGUUUGACGUUGCAAUUGUAAUGUCACCUCCACAAUAGCCUCUGCAUUGACUUUAUCAUCAAAUUAGUUUUAUAAUCACCUGGAAUAUCAAAGCGAAGGAGAGAGAUCGGCUCCAGGCACAUCUGGGUCCCAGGGAACAGGAGUCUCUCCUAAAAACAGGCAAGGAUGUGCAGGACGGCCACUGGAGUUGCUUUACAUAUUGAGGCAAACCUGGAUGGUGGGAAAGCAAGCACUUGAAAGAUUUGGUACUAGAACAAAAUAUGCAAAAGGAACAAAAAGAAAACAACAACAAAAAUGAACCAACUGCAAAAAUAGCAAAAGUUGCUAGCUUCACCUCUGUGAAAAUUUGCAGUGUUUUAUUUCUGUUGCAGCCUACCCUGCACGGGUACAGCAGAGGGUUGCUGUCGGAAAGGGUUUUUUCAAUUUGCAGUCGGGAGCUGAGUGCUGUGGUCAGGGCAAGGCGAACCCUACAGGGAAGGGGGAGCCCUGGGGACAGCGCAGUCCUGGGAGAUGCAGAAGAAAUGUGAAAUCAAAUCAAUUCUGUCAACAGUUCCCAGCGAAAAAAUAAGGAGGAAGGAAUGCUGAAUCAUUUUAUUUCAAUGUUCUCAAAUGAAAAAUGUUUCACUUAAAU
rnacentral:lncRNA from 1 species